UGAGGAAUAUUGGUCAAUGGGCGGGAGCCUGAACCAGCCAAGCCGCGUGAGGGAAGACGGCGCUAUGCGUUGUAAACCUCUUUUGCCGGGGAACAAAUGCGGGGAUGCAUCCCUGUUUGAGUGUACCCGGAGAAAAAGCAUCGGCUAACUCCGUGCC
rnacentral:rRNA from 1 species